UGGUCUGGAGCAGCAGAGGGGUGUGGGGACCCCAUGACAGGGCACUGAUUUCUGCCCUGUUGUAGAUUUUUGCCCUCCAACAGGCAGCAGCAAUCUUUGGCAGCACAGGAAAGUGCCCAAACUGUUCUGGAGCAGCCAAAAACUGAUGGGAAAGUGAUGGCUUUUAACAGCGAUGGAGUGUCAGUGAGGGGGAGCUGCCUUUGAAGAGCUGAUUGCUGUCUCACUUGACUUAAUGAAAUGGCUCUCCUGAUAAAAGCUUCACCUCUGGGCCCUGCAGGCAAAUGCAGGAUGGAUCACCUCUGUCUGGAAAGCACUGACCAACCUGCUGGAAGAAACCAUCCUUCCUACUGAACCCCAGGAGUUCUGGGCAGAUCUCCUGGCUGCACUCCCCAGCUGCUUGCAGAAUCCUGUAGGAUUUCUUUUGCCAAACCUCACUGCAGUGCCCUGCCUGGCCCAAAACACACGCCAGCAUCUCCCUGCACCACUGGAAACCUCACUGCCUGCUACACCCACAGAACAGGGGUGGCUGCUCAGGCAGGGGCCUGGGCCAUCACCUUCUCUGUGGGCACAGCGAGGGAGACAUUUGAAAUAUCCUUCUUGAGUAAUGGAGUUGGACAAGUGGGAAAUUCCUGCUCCCCGUUUGCAGCAGGGAAUGGUGCAGGCAAAACUCCAGCAGCAGGAUAUGUAAAAAUGAAGUAAGGAAUUCCAGAAGCCUGCCAAGGCUGCAACCUGAAAUCCAUUACAGUAUUCUGCUGCAUUACUGCUAUGAAGACACCGCUGAUUACAACCAGACCACAGCACAGAGCAACAUUUGUCCAAUUAGGGGUUAGAUACUUAAUUAAUGAGUGUGGAAUAGGAAAAGGAGCCAGAAAGACACUGCCAGGCUGAAGUCAGAUUGAAAAAUCCACUAGCUCCUUCCAAUGGUAACUGAGAAAGUGCCACAUAAAAAUCAUAAAAUGGUUUAAAACUCUGUUAUUCCUUUCAUGUUUGUACUUGGAAAAGGAGUUUCCUUCUCAGUUACCUUGGAAAUGAAGAGACUGGUGAGGUUCAGGUAUGUUCCAGUUGCAUUCCAUGAACUAACACAACUGACUGAAAAUGCAA